UGAGGAAUUUUGCGCAAUGGGGGAAACCCUGACGCAGCAACGCCGCGUGAGUGAUGAAGGCCUUCGGGUCGUAAAGCUCUGUCAAGUGGGAAGAACCUGCCUGGUGAUAAUACCAUCGGGCACCGACGGUACCACUGAAGGAAGCACCGGCUAACUCCGUGCCAGCAGCCGCGGUAAUACGGGGGGUGCAAGCGUUAUUCGGAAUCAUUGGGCGUAAAGGGCGCGUAGGCGGUCUUUUAAGUCAGAUGUGAAAGCCCUCGGCUUAACCGAGGAAGUGCAUUUGAUACUAAAAGACUUGAGUAUGGGAGAGGGAAGCGGAAUUCCUGGUGUAGCGGUGAAAUGCGUAGAUAUCAGGAGGAACACCGGUGGCGAAGGCGGCUUCCUGGACCAAUACUGACGCUGAGGCGCGAAGGCGUGGGGAGCAAACAGG
rnacentral:rRNA from 1 species